AUGAAUUUGUCAGCUGAGAAGUGUGGUCCUCUCGCUCGGCAAGCCUGAAGUCUGUUUGAAGCACCCUUGACCAGUGCUCAUUCCUUUGUGCUUUCUGGGCAUAUCUGCUGCCCAGAAUCUCUGGUAGAAAGUUGCUGCCUCAGGGGCUGUUAGGCAAAUACCCAACUCUUGGGGGUGCGGGCAGAGUGGGUAGGAGCCGCCAAAGCAGUGCCUUAGGGGAGUGGCCCCCAUGUGCUGAGUGACUGUACAGGAUUUUCCCCCUAACUUUCAGGACCGACUUCCCGAAUUGUACCCUUCCUAACAGGGGCUGCUGUAUAAAGUCAGGCUGGACUUCUGAGAACUCCAAGGUACUGUUGGCGGGCCCCCUCACCCCUGCCCCUCUCCUGCUUGGCCCCUGUCAGCUCGGUGCUUCUUGCCACAAUGGGUCCAGGCCCACCUCUGUCCUCCCCUUGGCAGUGAACAGCUGAGGAAGAUAGUGGACGUCAAACCCGGCCUGCCAGGGCCCAUCAUGGCACGGUGCUGAGGGGUGUGAGGUUCAGCUGUGCCAGCGUACCCCGGCCCCAGCCAUUGGGGACUCAGGUUAUUCCCUCUGAGAAGCCACCUGUGUGGAUUGGGUGGUCAAAUGGAGAGGCCUCAGAUGCUUCCUCUGCUUUUUUCCGUCCCUUGGUGGGUCGAGAGGCCUGCGAAGGAUCACACUGAGGAUGCCUCUUGCCUUCCCUCAUCAGGCUGUCCUCAUAGCACAUCACCCUAGGGCCCCACCCCAUGCAGUAAGUGCCUCUGAAGGGGUCACAGCGUGCUUGCCAGGCCGAGUCCCUUUUUAAAAUCCCAGACUCACGCAGUUAGAAAAGAGUGUUUUCAGUAUUUUACUAACAAAUGAAUUGGCAAAAGAACAAGCUCUCUGGUGAUACCUCCCCCUUUCCCCCAUUUAGCAUCCACCAGGUGCCCAUCACGGUGGCAGGGGUCUGACGUGCUCGCUGGGUUCUCAGCGGCUUGCCUUGCCUCCAACUCAAGUCACUCGCACAACUGCUCGGGGGCAGGAAGAGACUUCCCUUCCUCAAAAGGGCAAGAGAGAGAGAGAAGCUCCUGGUUGGAUGCCAGGGCCACAUGGGCAAGCCAGGCCUUAUUCCUUCUGGAGGACGGCGCUGAUUCUUCUUCCUGGGACAGAGAACCUCUGCCCACAGCAUCAGUCUUCCGAAGGUCAGCCCCCACCCAUGAAAGCCUUGAGUGGAGCCUCAGCGUUACGAAGGCAUCGUCCUGUCCCUCAGACUGGCUAAGAGGAGGACAUCCCGCGAUCUUUGUCAGCAGACGGUGAGACUCCAGGACUAAGACGUAAGCCCAUGGCGGGGUCCUUCCUUUGGCACCAAGUCCCUACAGAACCUUGGAUGAGUCGGAUCCCCACACUGUACCCCCUCCUCAGUAUCCACAGCUGUGAAGUGGGAAUAAUAUCAACACAUGGGGAAGUACUGAGGAGGAAGAGAACAUUGCAGAAUUGUAACAGCUACUCAGGGACUCUGCCAAUCAGAGUGCCCGCACGGAGCUCGUUUUGCACCACGAAGGCAGGAAUCCUGGA